rnacentral:ncRNA from 1 species
GGGGUGGGCAUUUAUAGAUUUUUGGGGAGGAUUCUAGAAGGGGAUGAAGGGUUGAGAUUUGAGAAUAAGUGUGAGUCAUCAGCUCGCGUUGACUAUGUCCCUACGCUAUGUGCACACCACCCAUCACUCUUACAGAUUGAAUGGUCCAGUGAUGUAUUUGAAUCGUGACAACGUGGGCAGUUCACCGCUUGCGACAUCAUGAGAAGACCAUUAAACCUUAUCAUUUAGAUGAAGGAGAAGUCAUAACAAGGUUUUCAUAAGUGAAUCUUCAGAAG